CCUACGGGAGGCAGCAGUGGGGAAUAUUGCACAAUGGGCGAAAGCCUGAUGCAGCGACGCCGCGUGAGGGAUGACGGCCUUCGGGUUGUAAACCUCUUUCAGCAGGGAACGAAGCGCAAGUGACGGUACCUGCAGAAGAAGCACCGGCUAACUACGUGCCAGCAGCCGCGGUAAU
rnacentral:rRNA from 1 species